AUGGAUCUGAGAACGCUGUCUGGGCUUGGUGCCAAGUGCUGGUAUUUCACAGCAGCGACCGCCUCACAGACGGGCUGUGGGAAGCAGGAGGGAGACUCUCUUAGGGUGCCACUACUAUGGAGACACAGCUGGGCUGAACAAGAUUUGCUUCAAACGACAACAAGAGAGACAGAAAGUAUCUGGUUCAACCGCUGCCCAAGCAGGCAGGCACCAGAAGAGCUAGCAGCCAAUCCGGCCAUGCUCGAAGCCAGCUCUGCAGCUCAGCCAAUCAGUGACAUCACUGGCCAUUGGAAAUUUUGUUGGGAUAAUCCUCCAAAUGAAUUUGAAGCAUUCUAUUCAAAUGACCAAAGAAUAACCCAAGUUUUGCCUUUGUCUUAACACUAAUGAAGGACUCACCACUUGAACUAGGUUAUUUAUCAUUAAAAUGGCAUUGUUAUGUGAUGACUCAGAAGUUAACAGUAAGUCUUAACUAUCUGAAAGAAGUGUCAUUUUAAUAUUGUACUAUAACAAGUCAUACCAUAUGUGGUAAUUUUUUUUCCCGUCUAAUUUUGUAUGUUAGUGUAAAGCAUAGAAUGUGACCAGAACUCUUAGACCUCAACGUAUAUUUUUCUGUGAAGCCAAAAUAUUUUUACUAAACUAUCCUAGUCAAUAAUUUUAUAUUUGGCAAGUAUUAGUGCAGUCCUGUUUUUGAGAAAAGUCAAUGAAAGUAUUUCCCUUCUAAUUCAAUAUCCUUUUUAUCUGAAACCAUUUUUCCUUUUGGUGCAAAUACUUACAAAGUCAGUAUUUUGACAGUAACAAUAUAUUCUGUUAUUUUUUUUUUUUUUCUGUGCUGAAAAUAGUUAAUGAUUAGGCUGGACUUAAGCAUCUGUCAGCCAGAAGACCUACUUAUUAAACUGAAUGAAAUAAGUGUGAUUAAAAAUCCUUUCUUUUUUUAUUGAGUUAUAUGACCCUGGUUAGCUAUACAUUUAUAUCUAAUAUAUAUUACUGUUGCUGUUUCAAAUUAUUAAUCUUCAUGUUUUUAAUAAACUAUUUUGAUCACCCAUAUGUUUUCUUCUGAAAUGGAUAUACACCAUAUAAAUUGUAAUGGACUGGAGAAAUUCUUUUGCUUUUUCUCAUGAUUCAAUAGAAUAAUUUUAAAUAUCUGUUCUGGCAAAACUGUCAAACAAGACUUUAAUGAAGUGCAAUUUUAAUGUAACAGAUUUUCUUUCUCUCCUGACAUUAAGAUAUACUUUUUACUUAUAACAUUUCUUA
rnacentral:lncRNA from 1 species